GUUAGAUGCUUAUGACCAAUUGAAUUAAAGUUUCAACUUUGGAAAUUUAUUUUAAGUGUCUCUUGAUAUAUUACCCUCUCCUUUCCUCUUUUCUCUCUUUUCCUAUCUGCCCUGUAUCAGUGAAGUAUUCUAAGGUUUAUUUUCUCAACAAUUAUACAACAUUGGAUAUGGAAUGCUAACCUUUCAUUUAGUGAACUUUAUGGUCAUAAGCUGAUUUUCU
rnacentral:misc_RNA from 1 species